GACUUGCCUUUGAUACUGUUAUUCUUGAGUGCAGUUGAAGUGGGCGGAAUAUAGCAUGUAGCGGUGAAAUGCAUAGAUAUGCUAUAGAACACCGAUUGCGAAGGCAGCUCGCUAAGCUGUAACUGACGCUGAGGCACGAAAGCUUGGAUAGCAAACAGGAUUAGAUACCCUGGUAGUCCAGGCUGUAAACGAUGAACACUCGCUGUUGGCAAUACAUCGUCAGCGGCUGAGCGAAAGCGUUAAGUGUUCCACCUGGGAAGUACGAUCGCAAGGUUGAAACUCAAAGGAAUUGACGGGGGCCCGCACAAGCGGAGGAGCAUGUGGUUUAAUUCGAUGAUACGCGAGGAACCUUACCUGGGCUUAAAUGCAUAUUGACGUACUGUGAAAGCA
rnacentral:rRNA from 1 species